rnacentral:lncRNA from 1 species
GGGAAAACAAGCAGCUGCAUGAGCGUGAGCAGAAUCUAUAGCUGUGAACCAAGAAAGGAAGGUGGUAAGACAUUCAGAUCUCAGGUACCACCAAAGCUCAGUAUUCCUAACUGCGAUCUAAACUGAGUCUCCUAGCCUGUGCAACUCGAUGGUAGAUGAAUGGUUGUAGGCAAAACUACAUUAAUUUAAGACAUAACCCUUGCAUGGCCAGAGAGAAUGAAUGGUUCCCUGAUGUGAUUUCUAGUCAGGUAAAAUAAUACUAACAUGUCCUAGCCUUUUUUAAAAAGCCUUUUCUUUUAAAGGUUUGGUUAAGCUAGAAAGACAGACCCUUUCCAAGUGUACAAUUUUUAGUUCUGUCAGACACCAUCACA